rnacentral:rRNA from 1 species
AACGAACGCUGGCGGCAUGCCUAACACAUGCAAGUCGAACGAGACCUUCGGGUCUAGUGGCGCACGGGUGCGUAACGCGUGGGAAUCUGCCCUUGGGUUCGGAAUAACAGUUGGAAACGACUGCUAAUACCGGAUGAUGACGUAAGUCCAAAGAUUUAUCGCCCAAGGAUGAGCCCGCGUAGGAUUAGCUAGUUGGUGAGGUAAAGGCUCACCGGGGCGACGAUCCUUAGCUGGUCUGAGAGGAUGAUCAGCCACACUGGGACUGAGACACGGCCCAGACUCCUACGGGAGGCAGCAGUGGGGAAUAUUGGACAAUGGGCGAAAGCCUGAUCCAGCAAUGCCGCGUGAGUGAUGAAGGCCUUAGGGUUGUAAAGCUCUUUUACCCGGGAUGAUAAUGACAGUACCGGGAGAAUAAGCUCCGGCUAACUCCGAG